rnacentral:rRNA from 1 species
UACAGAGGGUGCAAGCGUUAUUCGGAAUUAUUGGGCGUAAAGCGCAUGUAGGCGGUUUGGUAAGUCUGAUGUGAAAGCCCUCGGCUUAAUCGGGGAAGUGCAUCGGAUACUGCCAGACUGGAGUGCAGGAGAGGAGAACGGAAUUCCUGGUGUAGAGGUAAAAUUCGUAGAUAUCAGGAGGAACAACUGCGGCGAAGGCGGUUCUCUGGACUGCAACUGACGCUGAGAUGCGAAAGCGUGGGGAGCAAACAGG